rnacentral:rRNA from 1 species
UACGUAGGGUGCAAGCGUUGUCCGGAAUUAUUGGGCGUAAAGAGCUCGUAGGCGGUCUGUCGCGUCGGCUGUGAAAACCCGGAGCUCAACUCCGGGCCUGCAGUCGAUACGGGCAGACUGGAGUUCGGCAGGGGAGACUGGAAUUCCUGGUGUAGCGGUGAAAUGCGCAGAUAUCAGGAGGAACACCGGUGGCGAAGGCGGUCUGCUGGGCCAAGACUGACGCUGAGGCGCGACAGCGUGGGGAGCAAACAGG